AAUCAACGCUGGCGGCGUGCCUCAGACAUGCAAGUCGAACGAUUAAAGCUCUCUUCGGAGAGUGUAUAGAGUGGCGCACGGGUGAGUAACACGUAAGUAAUCUACCUUUGAGUGGGGAAUAACGUCCGGAAACGGACGCUAAUACCGCAUAAUGCAGCGGCAUCGCAAGAUGACAGUUGUUAAAGAUUUAUCGCUUGAAGAGGAGCUUGCGGCAGAUUAGCUAGUUGGUAAGGUAAUGGCUUACCAAGGCUACGAUCUGUAACCGGUCUAAGAGGACGGUCGGUCACACUGACACUGAAUAACGGGUCAGACUCCUACGGGAGGCAGCAGUCGGGAAUUUUGGGCAAUGGGCGAAAGCCUGACCCAGCAACGCCGCGUGAAGGAUGAAGUAUUUCGGUAUGUAAACUUCGAAAGAAUGGGAAGAAUAAAUGACGGUACCAUUUAUAAGGUCGGCUAACUACGUGCCAGCAGCCGCGGUAAG
rnacentral:rRNA from 1 species